CCUACGGGUGGCUGCAGUGGGGAAUAUUGGACAAUGGGGGCAACCCUGAUCCAGCCAUGCCGCGUGUGUGAAGAAGGCCCUCGGGUUGUAAAGCACUUUCAGUGAGGAAGAACGCCUGGUGGUUAAUACCCAUCAGGAAAGACAUCACUCACAGAAGAAGCACCGGCUAACUCCGUGCCAGCAGCCGCGGUAAUACGGAGGGUGCGAGCGUUAAUCGGAAUUACUGGGCGUAAAGCGCGCGUAGGUGGCUUGAUAAGCCGGUUGUGAAAGCCCCGGGCUCAACCUGGGAACGGCAUCCGGAACUGUCAAGCUAGAGUGCAGGAGAGGAAGGUAGAAUUCCCGGUGUAGCGGUGAAAUGCGUAGAGAUCGGGAGGAAUACCAGUGGCGAAGGCGGCCUUCUGGACUGACACUGACACUGAGGUGCGAAAGCGUGGGUAGCAAACAGGAUUAGAUACCCCAGUAGUU
rnacentral:rRNA from 1 species